AUGAUAACAAGUUAAGAAGAAAGGCAAUAUAUUUUUUUUAACUACAAGCUCACAAUCCAAACUAGAAUUUUUCUCUUUAGAUUUUGGUCACUUAUGUUAUGUAGUUGAUACUUCUUGUUGGUUAGAAGAUUUUUGUGAAAUAAUAUUUAUGUUAAUACAUCAAUUUAAGAUUGAUUCUUUUAUAUUAGCUUUUUUAUUAUAGAAGUUUUAUUU
rnacentral:lncRNA from 1 species